rnacentral:rRNA from 1 species
UACGGGGGGGGCAAGCGUUGUUCGGAAUUACUGGGCGUAAAGGGCUCGUAGGCGGCCAACUAAGUCGGACGUGAAAUCCCUCGGCUUAACCGGGGAACUGCGUCCGAUACUGGAUGGCUUGAGUUCGGGAGAGGGAUGCGGAAUUCCAGGUGUAGCGGUGAAAUGCGUAGAUAUCUGGAGGAACACCGGUGGCGAAGGCGGCAUCCUGGACCGACACUGACGCUGAGGAGCGAAAGCCAGGGGGGCAAACGGG